GCCUUUGUGGUGUAGUGGUCAGCACGCUCGAUGUAUAUUCGAGAUUUCCGUGGUUCGAGUCCUGGCAAGGGCA
rnacentral:tRNA from 1 species